rnacentral:rRNA from 1 species
AACGAACGCUGGCGGCAUGCCUAACACAUGCAAGUCGAACGAACCCUUCGGGGUUAGUGGCGCACGGGUGCGUAACGCGUGGGAAUCUGCCCUUUGCUUCGGAAUAACAGUUAGAAAUGACUGCUAAUACCGGAUGAUGUCUUCGGACCAAAGAUUUAUCGGCAAGGGAUGAGCCCGCGUAGGAUUAGGUAGUUGGUGGGGUAAAGGCCUACCAAGCCGACGAUCCUUAGCUGGUCUGAGAGGAUGAUUAGCCACACUGGGACUGAGACACGGCCCAGACUCCUACGGGAGGCAGUAGUGGGGAAUAUUGGACAAUGGACGCAAGUCUGAUCCAGCAAUGCCGCGUGAGUGAUGAAGGCCUUAGGGUUGUAAAGCUCUUUUACCAGGGAUGAUAAUGAUAGUACCUGGAGAAUAAGCUCCGGCUAACUCCGUGCCAGCCGCCGCAGUAACAC